rnacentral:rRNA from 1 species
GUAGGGAAUAUUGGACAAUGGGGGCAACCCUGAUCCAGCGACGCCGCGUGAGUGAUGAAGGCCUUCGGGUCGUAAAGCUCUGUUGCAGGGGAAGAACACAAUGACGGUACCCUGCUAGAAAGGAUCGGCUAACUUCGUGCCAGCAGCCGCGGUAAGACGAGGGAUCCUAGCGUUGUUCGGAAUCAUUGGGCGUAAAGCGGAUGUAGGUGGCUAUGUAAGUCAGAUGUGAAAGCCUGGGGCUCAACCCCAGAAGUGCAUUUGAUACUGCGUAGCUUGAGUGUCGGAGAGGUUACUAGAAUUGUUGGUGUAGUGGUGAAAUACGUAGAUAUCAACAGGAAUACCGGAGGCGAAGGCGGGUAACUGGCCGAACACUGACACUGAGAUCCGAAAGCGUGGGGAUCAAACAGGAUUAGAAACCCCAGUAGUCC